rnacentral:rRNA from 1 species
GACGAACGCUGGCGGCGUGCUUAACACAUGCAAGUCGAACGCGCCUGUCCUCUGGGUUUCUGGGGGGUGGGUGAGUGGCGAACGGGUGAGUAACACGUGAGUAACCUGCCCCCUUCUUCGGGAUAACGGUCUGAAAGGGCUGCUAAUACCGGGUAUUCACUGGUCUCCGCAUGGGGUCUGGUGGAAAGGUUUUUUUCUGGUGGGGGAUGGGCUCGCGGCCUAUCAGCUUGUUGGUGGGGUGAUGGCCCACCAAGGCUUUGACGGGUAGCCGGCCUGAGAGGGUGACCGGUCACAUUGGGACCGAGAUACGGCCCAGACUCCUACGGGAGGCAGCAGUGGGGAAUAUUGCACAAUGGGCGCAAGCCUGAUGCAGCGACGCCGCGUGAGGGAUGGAGGCCUUCGGGUUGUGAACCUCUUUCGCCCGUGGUCAAGCCGCGACGUGGGUCGUGGUGAGGGUAGUGGGUAAAGAAGCGCCGGCUAACUACGUG